UCAGUGAACUUCAGUUGUCAGUGAAUUCAGUUGUCAGUGAACUUUUCACUGACAACUGAAGUUUACUGACAACUGAAGUUUACUGAC
rnacentral:pre_miRNA from 1 species